rnacentral:rRNA from 1 species
UACGUAGGGGGCAAGCGUUGUCCGGAAUCAUUGGGCGUAAAGAGCGUGUAGGCGGCUCGGUAAGUCCGCUGUAAAAGUCCAGGGCUCAACCCUGGAAUGCCAGUGGAAACUGUCGAGCUAGAGUCCGGAAGAGGCGAGUGGAAUUCCUGGUGUAGCGGUGAAAUGCGCAGAUAUCAGGAGGAACACCAAUGGCGAAGGCAGCUCGCUGGGACGGUACUGACGCUGAGACGCGAAAGCGUGGGGAGCAAACAGG